AUACGUAGGUGGCACGCGUUGUCUGGAAUUAUUGGGCGUAAAGCGCGCGCAGGUGGUUCCUUAAGUCUGAUGUGAAAGCCCCCGGCUCAACCGGGGAGGGUCAUUGGAAACUGGGGAACUUGAGUGCAGAAGAGGAUAGGGGAAUUCCAAGUGUAGCGGUGAAAUGCGUAGAGAUUUGGAGGAACACCAGUGGCGAAGGCGACUGGCUGGUCUGUAACUGACACUGAGGCGCGAAAGCGUGGGGAGCAAACAGGAUUAGAUACCCUGGUAGUCCACGCCGUAAACGAUGAGUGCUAAGUGUUGGGGGGUUUCCGCCCCUCAGUGCUGCAGCUAACGCAUUAAGCACUCCGCCUGGGGAGUACGGUCGCAAGACUGAAACUCAAAGGAAUUGACGGGG
rnacentral:rRNA from 1 species